GACGAACGCUGGCGGCGCGCCUAACACAUGCAAGUCGAACGAGCGAGAGGAGGUUUACUUUCUCAAGCGAGUGGCGAACGGGUGAGUAACGCGUGAGGAACCUGCCUCAAAGAGGGGGACAACAGUUGGAAACGACUGCUAAUACCGCAUAAGCCCACGACCCGGCAUCGGGUAGAGGGAAAAGGAGCAAUCCGCUUUGAGAUGGCAUCGCGUCCGAUUAGCUAGUUGGUGAGGUAAUGGCCCACCAAGGCGACGAUCGGUAGCCGGACUGAGAGGUUGAACGGCCACAUUGGGACUGAGACACGGCCCAGACUCCUACGGGAGGCAGCAGUGGGGAAUAUUGCACAAUGGGGGAAACCCUGAUGCAGCGACGCCGCGUGGAGGAAGAAGGUCUUCGGAUUGUAAACUCCUGUUGUUGAGGAAGAUAAUGACGGUACUCAACAAGGAAGUGACGGCUAACUACGUGCCAGCAGCCGCGGUAAAACGUAGGUCACAAGCGUUGUCCGGAAUUACUGGGUGUAAAGGGAGCGCAGGCGGGAAGACAAGUUGGAAGUGAAAUCCAUGGGCUCAACCCAUGAACUGCUUUCAAAACUGUUUUUCUUGAGUAGUGCAGAGGUAGGCGGAAUUCCCGGUGUAGCGGUGGAAUGCGUAGAUAUCGGGAGGAACACCAGUGGCGAAGGCGGCCUACUGGGCACCAACUGACGCUGAGGCUCGAAAGUGUGGGUAGCAAACAGGAUUAGAUACCCUGGUAGUCCACACUGUAAACGAUGAUUAUUAGGUGUUGGAGGAUUGACCCCUCCAGUGCCGCAGUUAACACAAUAAGUAAUCCACCCUGGGGAGUACGACCGCAAGGUUGAAACUCAAAGGAAUUGACGGGGGCCCGCACAAGCAGUGGAGUAUGUGGUUUAAUUCGACGCAACGCGAAGAACCUUACCAAGUCUUGACAUCCUGCGACGCACAUAGAAAUAUGUGUUUCCUUCGGGACGCAGAGACAGGUGGUGCAUGGUUGUCGUCAGCUCGUGUCGUGAGAUGUUGGGUUAAGUCCCGCAACGAGCGCAACCCUUAUGGUCAGUUACUACGCAAGAGGACUCUGGCCAGACUGCCGUUGACAAAACGGAGGAAGGUGGGGAGGACGUCAAAUCAUCAUGCCCUUUAUGACUUGGGCUACACACGUACUACAAUGGCGUUAAACAAAGAGAAGCAAGACCGCGAGGUGGAGCAAAACUCAGAAACAACGUCCCAGUUCGGACUGCAGGCUGCAACUCGCCUGCACGAAGUCGGAAUUGCUAGUAAUCGCAGAUCAGCAUGCUGCGGUGAAUACGUUCCCGGGCCUUGCACA
rnacentral:rRNA from 1 species